UUGGCUUAAGUUAAGAAAAGGGCGCACGGUUGGAUGCCUUGGUCCAGCUAAGGAGGCCGAAGACAGGACGGCGACUAAGCAACCGAAUAUUGCUUUGGGGAGGCUGUUACGUAAAGCGUUGCAUCCCAGCAGAUUUCCGAAUGGGCGGGAAGCGGGCCACGUAUCUUUAGUCGGAUUAGUAUCCUUACGCUGAAUACAUAGCGUGAGGAAGGGGCAGACGCCAGGGAACUUGAAACCAAAUCUAAGUAGCCUGGAGCAGAGAGCAAAAAAAAAUCGAUUUCCUGAGUAGCGCCCCGAGCGAAACGGAAAAGAGCCCAAAGCCAAGAAGCUUGCCCUUCUUGCGGAGUUGCCUAGCGAGCAACUCUAUACGGAAGUUACAAAAGAAAGUUAUAAAGUGAAGCGGUCUGGAAAAGGCGCCGCCAAAAGACGGGUAAGGCAAGCCGCCGUAGUUGAAAUGGCAUUUACCACCCCCCCCCCGCUCCAGAGUGGCAUCCUGAGCUACGGCGGAAACAGCGUGAAAUUCCGUCGGAAUCCCGCGAGGACCAAUCUCCCAAGGCCUAAAUACCUCCCUUAGCUGACCUGAUAGUGCAACGCAGUACACACUGAAGGGAAAUCGUGAAAAAAUAGCAACCCCGGAAGCGGGAAGCUGAAAACAGUUCACUGAAACCGCUGUGCCACAAGCAAGUAGAUUAGAACCCCGUUAAUGGGCUGAAUAGCGUGCCCUUUGUAGAAUGAAACCGGCCGAAGUAGCGAUUUGUAUGCAAGCGUUAAAGCCGCAAAAAAGCGGAGCCCCUAGGCGCAAAAGCGAGUCAUGAAUAGGGCGCAUAAGCUAAAACAGCUCGUAUGACCCGAAAACCAACGUGAUCUACUCCAUGUCCAGGAUGAAGGCUAACGGUAAUAACUUACCUAGGAGGGGCCGAAGCCCAACGCACGUUUUGAAAAGUGCGGGGAUGAGGUGGUGGGUAGCGGAGAAAUUCCAAUCGAACUUGCGGAGCAUAGGCUGGUUUCAUGCGUCCGAAAAUAGCUUUAGGGCUAGCCUCGAAGGUAAAGAGUAACAUGCAGAGGAUAGAGGCCACUGUUUGGACUAGGAGCCCUUUCUUCGCGGUUAACCAGAAUUCAGCAUAAAUAACCCAGAAAGGCCAUGCCAAGCAUUAUAGCUCGGCAAGUCAGACUGCGAGUGAGAUAAGAUGCCGCUAGUCCGAAAGGCGAAAGCAGCCGCAAGACCCACAAGUUAUAAGCGUCCCCAAAUAUAUGAUUAAGUGGAAAAAGGAAGUGCUGGGGUUGGCUUUAGACAAACCAGGAUGUUGGCCCUAAGAAAGGCCAGAAGCCACACAUUGAAAAGACUGGCGCCUAAUAGCCUCUACUGGUCGAAGUGACCCCGCCCGCGAAAAAUGUACCGGGCUCCAAACAUAUUUACCGCAACACGCUGGAUGAACCUCUUUUAGAGGUUCGCUGGCUGAGCGAGAAUGGCGUUUCUAAGGGCGGUGAAGUCAUAGACCCGAAGGACUGGUGGAGCGCCUUAGAAGUGAUGAAUGCCCGGUAAUCUGAGUAGCGGAAAGAUAGUUGGUGAGAAUCCCCUUCCACCUGAAUAUCUAAGGCUUUCCUGCUGAGGAAGGCUCGUCCGCUCAGCGGUUUAGUCGGGCACCUAAGGCCUGAAGCCGCCGAUAGCCGCUAGGCGAAUGGACAACAGGUAAGAGAUUUCCUGUACCAGUGCCUAAUUGUUUAACCGAUGGGGCGGAAACAGAAGGAUAGCGAAUUCUGCACGGAAAUGGAAAAUGUGGCGUCCAAGCAGUGAGUGUGGAGAAGUAGGCAAAAUGCCGCUUCUCGCGAAGCAUCGAGCCUGUGAUGGGGCAAGGAAAAUUAAGCUACCGGAAGCUUCCUGAUUUCAGCGGCUGUCAAGAAAAGGCCUCUAGCGGAAGAGUAGUACUGCCCGUACGCCCAAACCGACACAGGUUAUGAUGAGGAGAGAAUCAUAAAAGGUGAGCGAGAGAACGUCCUCGUAACGAACUUCGGCAAAAUGCAACCCCGUAAACUUUCGCGGAGAAAGGGGUGCUCUCUAUUAGGGUGCAAGGGCCCCGAGAGAGCCGUCAGAGUUGCAAUAGGCCCGCAGGCGACUGUUUAGGCAAAAAGCACAAGGUCUUCUGCCCAAAAACCGUAAGGUGACGUAAUAGGGGCCGACGCCUGCCCUGGUGGGGGCUGUGGAAAGGUUAAAGAGGAGUGCUUAGCUUCCGGCGAAGGUAACGAAUUGAAAGCCCCAGUAAAACUGGCGGCCGUAACUAUAAGCGGUGCCUAAAGGUAAGCGAAAUUCCUUGUCCGGUAAGUUCGCGACCUCGGCAACCGAACGAAAAGGAGCAACGGAUCUGGGCAGCUUGUCUCAACAAGAGACUCGUGGUGGAACAUUAGUAGUACCUGUGAAGAUGGCAGGUUAACCCGCGACCAGGACGGAAAGACCCCGUGGAGCUUAACUGCAACCUGCAUAUGAGAUGUUUGUACCGCUUUGUAAGCAGGAUACGUAGCGCAGCCGAACAGACGGCGUGCGCUAAGGAUACGAGGAGCCAAUGGUGGGAUAGCUACCCCGCGCUGUAUGACCAUUCUAAUCCCGUGACAACGCUUAGCGCGGUGGGCGAGACAGUGUCAGGUGGGCAGUUUGACUGGGGCGCUCGCCUCGCUAAAAGAGUAAAACGGAGGCAAUGGUGGGAUACUACCCUGGCUGUAUGACCAUUCUACCCCGCCACGCUUAGCGCGUGGGGAGACAGUGUCAGGUGGGCAGUUUGACUGGGGCGGUCGCCUCCUAAAGAGUAACGGAGGCGCCCAAAGGUUCCCUCAGAAUGGAUGGAAAUCAUUCGCAGAGUGUAAAGGCACAAGGGAGCUUGACUGCGAGACUGACAAGUCGAGCAGGGACGAAAGUCGGGCUUAGUGAUCCGGUGGUUCCGCAUGGAAGGGCCAUCGCUCAACGGAUAAAAGCUACCCCGGGGAUAACAGGCUUAUCUCCCCCAAGAGUCCACAUCGACGGGGAGGUUUGGCACCUCGAUGUCGGCUCGUCGCAUCCUGGGGCUGUAGUCGGUCCCAAGGGUUGGGCUGUUCGCCCAUUAAAGCGGCACGCGAGCUGGGUUCAGAACGUCGUGAGACAGUUCGGUCCCUAUCCGUCGCGGGCGCAGGAAAUUUGAGAGGAGCUGUCCUUAGUACGAGAGGACCGGGAUGGACACACCGCUGGUGUACCAGUUGUUCCGCCAGGAGCAUCGCUGGGUAGCUAUGUGUGGCAGGGAUAAACGCUGAAAGCAUCUAAGCGUGAAGCCCCCCUCAAGAUGAGAUUUCCCAUUUCUUCGGAAAGUAAGAUCCCUGAAAGAUGAUCAGGUAGAUAGGUUUGGAGUGGAAGUGUAGCGAUACAUGGAGCGGACAAAUACUAAUCGAUCGAGGACUUAACCAAAA
rnacentral:rRNA from 1 species